rnacentral:lncRNA from 1 species
GAAUUUUAUAUUUUAAAAUCAUAUUUACUUGCCUACUUUGAUUGUAUGUGAUCGUCUUUUAUUUCUGGGCGACUUUACACUGUGUGCCUGCGACUGUCAACAUAGGUGAUAGUAAUGAAAGCAGUGGCGUAACGUUAUAUCAGGGGGCCCCCGGUUCAAAAUUUUCGAAGGCCCCCCCUAGUAGAAGUGCCAAAGGCACGAGUCGAGCGCCGUAUAUGCACGAAAUUUCUAGGGGUCCAGGGCAUGCUUAUCCGGAAAAUUUUUGAAUUUAGACUCUCUGAAAUGCCAUUUCCUGGACUUUGGGGAGAGAUUUUACAGAAUUCUGAUGGUCAUAAAACUACAUUGUAACAUAUCAGAGGCCCUGACCAAUGUUUUU